CUCUCUCUCUUCUCUCUCUCCCUCUCCCUCUCUCUCUCUCUCUCUCUUUUAAAAAAUCAGCCAUUUGGGGUUUUAAGCCAUAAACGAUUUUUCUUGUUGCAGGGGAUUGCAGUGGCAAAGCUAGGCUAGGUCUUGGAGGCUGGUGUAAGGCGAUGCGGGUGAAGGCAGGAGGCUGAUGGAGAGACUGGGGGGAAGAAAAGCCGAAAUGGAUUCACGGUGCCUUGGAUGAAGGACGAGAGGGGAACUGCAAGCUCCUUCAACUGGUUCUGUCCGGUGAGAAGUGAUCAAGCUUGGGCUGACAAGAGGCUCAGGGAGCCCUCACGUUCUUUCGCUUUUUUACCUGCCAAUCAAACUGCUACAAGACAACACCCUGAUCUGGCAUGGACAUCGCGGGUCCAAGCCUGUAGCCCCAAAUCGGAUAAUCUCUGCAGCUGAUAACAAGCAAAAGAGAAGCCAGGCAACAGCCAUAUUAAAGAAGAAAACAGUCAACUCUGAGAUCCAACUUAGAAAUAAUGUUUCAUUCAAGAUAAGGCUCGUGGUUUAGGAGAUUGUGACCUGGCUUGCAUCAUUCUAAGACUUCUAUCGUCUGUUUUCAAAACCCAAGGAGGACCUCAUUUUCUGUGUGAUAGUUCCUCAUGCUUUGCCAGCCACUGGGUCUUUAAGGAAGCUUGCCAAGAGUUCCCGGCUGGGAAGGACAGUUCGAGUUCAUCAUAGACAAUGAGCUGGCACCACAGUUUAAGUGACUCACCAACCUGGUUGCCCACUUCAAAAUGUCAAGAACCACACUAUCUAAUUGAAAGAACUGUGUUUUAGCAAAGUGUAAUUGGAUCGCCUGGCAAGAUCAUCUCAAACUAUGUCUCUGACCUUGCCUUUCAGUGGCUAUUUUGAGCACAAGAGGAGAAAGGAAAUGAUUCCUGAAUUAUAUC
rnacentral:sRNA from 1 species